rnacentral:rRNA from 1 species
CAUGCCUAACACAUGCAAGUCGAACGGUAACAGGCCUUCGGGCGCUGUCGAGUGGCGGACGGGUGAGUAAUGCAUAGGAAUUUGCCUUGAAGUGGGGGAUAGCCCGGAGAAAUCCGGAUUAAUACCGCAUAUGUUCUACGGAACAAAGUGGGCCUCUGAUUUAAGCUCAUGCUUUGAGAUAAGCCUAUGUCGGAUUAGCUUGUUGGUGGGGUAAAAGCCUACCAAGGCGACGAUCCGUAGCUGGUUUGAGAGGAUGAUCAGCCACACUGGGACUGAGACACGGCCCAGACUCCUACGGGAGGCAGCAGUGGGGAAUAUUGGACAAUGGGCGCAAGCCUGAUCCAGCAAUGCCGCGUGUGUGAAGAAGGCCUGCGGGUUGUAAAGCACUUUUAUCGGGAAAGAAAUCCUUGGAGCUAAUACCUUCAAGGCUUGACGGUACCCGAGGAAUAAGCACCGGCUAACUCAGUGCCAGCAGCCGCGGUAAUACUGAGGGUGCAAGCGUUAAUCGGAAUUACUGGGCGUAAAGCGAGUGUAGGCGGCUUCGUAAGUCGGAUGUGAAAGCCCUGGGCUUAACCUGGGAAUGCCAUUCGAUACUGCGCGGCUAGAGUUUGAUAGAGGAAAGUGGAAUUCCAGGUGUAGCGGUGAAAUGCGUAGAUAUCUGGAGGAACAUCAGUGGCGAAGGCGGCUUUCUGGAUCAAAACUGACGCUGAGGCUCGAAAGCGUGGGUAGCAAACAGGAUUAGAUACCCUGGUAGUCCACGCCCUAAACGAUGUCAACUAGACGUUGGCCCCAUUUAAGGGGUUAGUGUCGAAGCUAACGCGUUAAGUUGACCGCCUGGGGAGUACGCCGCAAGGUUGAAACUCAAAGGAAUUGACGGGGGCCCGCACAAGCGGUGGAGCAUGUGGUUUAAUUCGAUGCAACGCGAAGAACCUUACCAGCCCUUGACAUCCUGGGAACUUUGUAGAGAUACAUUGGUGCCUUCGGGAAUCCAGUGACGG